GUGCCAGCAGCCGCGGUAAUACCGGCAGCUCAAGUGAUGUCCCAUAUUAUUGGGCCUAAAGCGUCCGUAGCUGGCUACGCAAGUCCGUCGGGAAAUCCACUCGCCCAACGAGUGGGCGUCCGACGGAAACUGCAUAGCUUGGGACCGGAAGGCUCGAAGGGUACGUGCGGGGUAGGAGUGAAAUCCCAUAAUCCCGCACGGACCACCGAUGGCGAAAGCACUUCGAGAAAACGGAUCCGACAGUGAGGGACGAAAGCCAGGGUCUCCAACCGGAUUAGAAACCCUAGUAGUCC
rnacentral:rRNA from 1 species